rnacentral:lncRNA from 10 species
CUGUGUAGAUGGGAUCUGCAUGCCCUCAUCUAAUGUCUCAGGGAACAUAGCAGCUCGUACCCUCUGAGCUCGAGUCAUUGCAUACUGUCCAUCAAUAUCAGCUACUUGUUCUUGAGUGAAGGACUGAGAAAAUCCCUGUUCCCACUCAUACAGGACUUGGGAGGUAUCCACAUCCUCUUCCUCAGGAUUGCCUUUACCACUCAGAGAAGGAGCUGUGGUAGUGGCACCAGAAUGGAUUCCAGAGUCCAGGUAAACAAGCCAGGCGAAGUGGCUUGUAAUUCUAACACUUUGGGAGGCGGGUGGAUUGCUGCAGCACAAGAGUUCCAAGACCAGCCUGGACAACACAGCGAAAUUCCAUCUCUACAAAAAAAUGUUAAAAAUUAGCCAGGUGUGGUAGUAUGUGCCUGUAGUCCUAGCCACUGGGGAGGCUGAGGCAAAGAGGAUCACUUAGGAGUUCAAGGUUAUAGUGAGCUAUGAUCACACCAAUGCAUCCAGCCUGGGCAACAGAGCAAGACCCUGUCUCUUAAAAGAAUUUAAAAAAAAAAAAAAGGAUACAUAAAUACCACUGUUUCAACUGCCUAUAGUAACACGCUAUACAGCUUUACACCCUAGAAGCAACAGGCUAUACUAUAUAGGCUAGGCAUGCAGUACACUAUGCCAUCUAGGUUUGUAUAAGUACUACGCUAAAUGUUUCAAGACACAGAUUAUCAUUAAACUACAGACUACAUUAGAAUGCUGUGUUUUCCAACAGCUUUAUCACCACCAAGUGAUGUUUUGACAAAGAGGGGGCUAGCCAACUUCUCAUGUAUUUUCCAUCCAGUCUAAUGCAUCCAUGCAUCUUUUUUUUGGCAAUAUGAACAUAAUACUCUUUCCAACUACAAGGAUACUUCAAAAUUCACCGUGCUAUUUCCGAUUUUAACCCUAUAAAUGUCUCCAGUCAAAGUCAAUGGGAGAAAUCUUGCCACAACUAAUAUAUAAUAGAUUUCACACUGAAGUUAUUUUUCCUCUUCCCAUCAGGACAGAAUUAUCUUAAUUACCUUAG